rnacentral:lncRNA from 1 species
AGACCAGCCCUGAGACAGUAUGGGAGGGGACUUCACAAGGCUGUGGAUACCAGGAGUGAGCACAGAGAAGCCAGUUAUGCAAACUACAGCAGACCCUUCCUGUCUCAAUUCAGCAUCCAGCGUCUACUGUUAGCCAGUGACUGGGCCUGUUCCUCAACCACUCAAGCCAAGCACAUGCAGAGAGCAAGAGCUCCAGGAACAUGGAUUUUUUUCCCCAAAAAAACUAAGUGGGCAAGACUCACUCCUGAAAUACCCAAAAUAGAAGCAUAAGAGGACCUGUUGAAAGAAGCAGUGGAGACUAUAUCGAUGGAGCUGUCUUGAAAUAGCUACAUACCAUGCCUCAAAUUUACUUUGGACAAAAUGGGAGUGGAAAAAAAUAAGCCCAAAGUGCUGCCUGGUCAGCAGGUCUGUUGUGCAUGACGGUGCUCCUGAAUUGGCUGGCUAUUUUUAUUCCUGUCUGAAAGCCAGGGAUGGAAAACCCUGAGAGGUUUG